AGAAGAGGAGAAUUUAUAGAAAAAUGAGAAUUGGGAAGAAAAUGAAGGAAUUUAGAAGAAGAUGAUGAAGAUGGAAAGGAAAGAAGAAGAGAGGGAAGAGGAGAAGGUGGGAGAAGGUAAUAGAAGCUGCAUUGUGAUGGUUGUAGAGGAAUUGGUGGUGGUAGGUGAUGCUCAACGAACUGUGGAUAGCAACAACCAGCGGAGAUGGCAAAAUAUAGAAAAAAAGUCUCAGUUUGCCCCAAAAAUAGAAAGAUGGAGUUGAGUUCGGGUCCAUACGAAGGAGGUGAGAAGAGGGAGAGGGAGGGCCAGGGUGGCAUGGGUUCCUAGUGUGGUGGCCGCGACCCUUGCUCUGCAGAGCCCAUAUGGAGGAGGUGAGAAGAGG
rnacentral:lncRNA from 1 species